GACGAACGCUGGCGGCGUGCUUAACACAUGCAAGUCGAACGGAAAGGCCCUGGCUUUGUGGGGUGCUCGAGUGGCGAACGGGUGAGUAACACGUGAGUAACCUGCCCUUGACUUUGGGAUAACUUCAGGAAACUGGGGCUAAUACCGGAUAGGAGCUCCUGCUGCAUGGUGGGGGUUGGAAAGUUUCGGCGGUUGGGGAUGGACUCGCGGCUUAUCCGCUUGUUGGUGGGGUAGUGGCUUACCAAGGCUUUGACGGGUAGCCGGCCUGAGAGGGUGACCGGCCACAUUGGGACUGGGAUACGGCCCAGACUCCUACGGGAGGCAGCAGUGGGGAAUAUUGCACAAUGGGCGGAAGCCUGAUGCAGCAACGCCGCGUGCGGGAUGACGGCCUUCGGGUUGUAAACCGCUUUCGCCUGUGACGAAGCGUGAGUGACGGUAAUGGGUAAAGAAGCACCGGCUAACUACGUG
rnacentral:rRNA from 1 species